rnacentral:rRNA from 1 species
GGGGGGGGGGGGGGGGGGGGGGGGGGCGGGCGGGGCGGGCGGCGGCGCGGGCUGCGGCCUGGCGGCGAGGGGCGAACGGGGGAGUAAUGCAUCGGAACGGGCCCGGUAGUGGGGGAUAGCCCGGCGAAAGCCGGGUUAAUACCGCAUACGACCUGAGGGUGACAGCGGGGGACCCGAAGGCCUCGCGCUAUUGGAGCGGCCGCUGUCGGCUUAGCUAGUUGGUGGGGGAAAGGCGUACCAAGGCGACGAUCCGUAGCUGGUCUGAGAGGACGACCAGCCACACUGGGACGGAGACACGGCCCAGACUCCUACGGGAGGCAGCAGUGGGGAAUUUUGGACAAUGGGGGCAACCCUGAUCCAGCCAUGCCGCGUGCGGGAAGAAGGCCUUCGGGUUGUAAACCGCUUUUGUUCGGGAAGAAAUCCUCUGGGCUAAUACCCCGGGGGGAUGACGGUACCGGAAGAAUAAGCACCGGCUAACUACGUG